CCCACAGGCCGUAAACCCAAGGUUUCCAGGGGAAGGUUCGUCCGCCCUGGGUUAGUCGGGACCUAAGCUGAGGCCGAAAGGCGUAGGUGAUGGACAACAGGUUGAUAUUCCUGUACUACCGAUAACCGUUUGAGAGAAGGGAUGACACAGUAGGAUAAGCUAAGCACACUGGUGGUUAUGUGUGCCCAAGCAUUGAGGCAGUCAAAGUAGGCAAAUCCGCUUUGAUAAUGCUGGGCUGUGAUGGGGAGCGAAAUUUAGUAGCGAAGUAGCUGAUUUCACACUGUCAAGAAAAGUCUCUAUCGAGGUUAAAGGUACCCGUACCGCAAACCGACACAGGUGGGUGAGGAGAGUAUCCUAAGGCCAGCGAGAGAACUGUUGUUAAGGAACUCGGCAAAAUGACCCCGUAACUUAGGGAUAAGGGGUGCCACCAUCAGGUGGCCGCAGAGAAUAGGCCCAAGCGACUUUUUACCAAAAACAUAGGUUUCUGCUAAGUCGCAAGUCGAUGUAUAGCAGCUGACGCCUUCCCGGUUCUGUAAGUUUAAGUGGAUCUGUUCGCGCAAUCGAAGCAGUCAACUUAUGCCCCAGUAAACGGCGGCCGUACCUAUAACUGUCCUAAGUUAGCGAAAUUCCUUGUCGGGUAAGUUCCGACCCGCACUAAAGGUGUAACGAUUUGGGCACUGUCUCAACAACAGACUCGGUGAAAUUGUAAUUCCGGUGAAGAUGCCGGAUACCUGCGACAGGACGGAAAGACCCCAUGGAGCUUUACUGUAGCUUGACAUUGGGUCUUGGUACUACAUGUACAGGAUAGGUGGGAGGCUUUGAAACCAGGACGCCAGUUUUGGCGGAGCCAUCCUUGGGAUACCACCCUUGUAGUACUGGGACUCUAACCAUAGGCCAUGAAUCUGGUCUUGGGACACUGUCAGGUGGGCAGUUUGACUGGGGCGGUCGCCUCCCAAAAGG
rnacentral:rRNA from 1 species